GUCAGUCCUAGCACAUGUCUCCACAUGUGUCCACAUUAUUAGUUCAACAUCUCCAUGUCCAUGACUUGUGAAACAUAGUCAUCAACUAAUACAUGUGCUAGUCUAAUAUUCAUGUGUGUCCUCACAUGAACUCCGACUAGGGACAACUUUAGAAUAACCAUACAAGUAAAGAGUUUCACAUACAAUUCACAUAAUUGCCAAUCAAUUCAAGUAGCCUUUAAUGGAUAUUCAAUGAACACAAUAUACAAAUCAUGGAUACAAAUGGAAUAUCAUCAUCUCUAUGAUUGCCUCUAGGGUAUACCUCCAACACGGACCUGGCGGUGGACGGGAGCCGGCGGCGGUCGCGGGAGGCGCGGGGGUGGACGGGUGGUAGCCUCGGUGGGUGAGGGUAGCGGGGGAAAAAUUGGUUCGCUUGCCCCAGAAGCGCCUCCCAGCCCGCGUACAUGAUAAGCCAGACGCCAGUUGUUUCCUAGCUUGUGAACUAAGCAGCUUACGUAGCAAGUGGAAAAUAAUCAAAGCGUUUGGGUGGGCUUAUG
rnacentral:lncRNA from 1 species